GACGAACGCUGGCGGCGUGCUUAACACAUGCAAGUCGAACGAAGUGGCGAACGGGUGAGUAACGCGUAAACAACCUGCCAUUCAGAGGGGGACAACAGUUGGAAACGACUGCUAAUACCGCAAACUGAAGGAGGGGAAUGCGGCUGAUUAGCUGGUGGGGGGGGGAAGGGCCCACCAAGGCGAUGAUCAGUAGCCGGUCUGAGAGGAUGAACGGCCACAUUGGGACUGAGACACGGCCCAGACUCCUACGGGAGGCAGCAGUGGGGAAUCUUCCGCAAUGGACGAAAGGCUGACGGAGGAACGCCGCGUGAGUGAUGACGGCCUUCGGGUUGUAAAGCUCUGUUAGUCGGGACGCGGUACCGGAAUAGAAGGCCACGGCUAACUACGUGCCAGCAGCCGCGUAAUAC
rnacentral:rRNA from 1 species